rnacentral:misc_RNA from 1 species
GAUGAAGAACGUAGCGAAAUGCGAUAAGUAAUGUGAAUUGCAGAAUUCAGUGAAUCAUCGAAUCUUUGAACGCACAUUGCGCCCGUCAGUAUUCUGGCGGGCAUGCCUGUUCGAGCGUCAUUACGCCCCUCAAGUCCCCUGUGGACUCGGUGUUGGGGAUCGGCGAGGCUGGUUUUCCAGCACAGCCGUCCCUUAAAUUAAUUGGCGGUCUCGCCGUGGCCCUCCUCUGCGCAGUAGUAAAACACUCGCAACAGGAGCCCGGCGCGGUCCACUGCCGUAAAACCCCCCAACUUUUUAUAGUUGACCUCGAAUCAGGUAGGACUACCCGCUGAACUUAAGCAUAUCAAUAAGCGGAGGA